rnacentral:rRNA from 1 species
CCUACGGGGCGCAGCAGUAGGGAAUCUUCCACAAUGGACGAAAGUCUGAUGGAGCAACGCCGCGUGAGUGAAGAAGGGUUUCGGCUCGUAAAGCUCUGUUGGUAGUGAAGAAAGAUAGAGGUAGUAACUGGCCUUUAUUUGACGGUAAUUACUUAGAAAGUCACGGCUAACUACGUGCCAGCAGCCGCGGUAAUACGUAGGUGGCAAGCGUUGUCCGGAUUUAUUGGGCGUAAAGCGAGUGCAGGCGGUUCCAUAAGUCUGAUGUGGAAGCCCUCGGCUCAACCGGGGAAUUGCAUCCGAAAAUU